GCAAGAUUAAAACUCAAAGGAAUAGACGGGGACCCGCACAAGUGGUGGAGCAUGUGGUUUAAUUCGAAGAUACGCGAAGAACCUUACCUAGCCUUGACAUAUAUUAGAACUCCGCAGAGAUGCAGAGGUGCCUUCGGGAGCUUUUAUACAGGUGCUGCACGGCUGUCGUCAGCUCGUGUCGUGAGAUGUUGGGUUAAGUCCCGCAACGAGCGCAACCCUCGUCACUAGUUACUAACGGUUCGGCCGAGGACUCUAGUGAGACUGCCUUCGUAAGGAGGAGGAAGGUGAGGACGACGUCAAGUCAUCAUGGCCCUUACGGCUAGGGCAACACACGUGCUACAAUGGUUGGGACAAUGAGACGCAAUACCGCGAGGUGGAGCAAAUCUAUAAACCCAAUCUCAGUUCGGAUUGUUCUCUGCAACUCGAGAACAUGAAGCUGGAAUCACUAGUAAUCGUAGAUCAGCUAUGCUACGGUGAAUACGUUCCCGGGUCUUGUACUCACUGCCCGUCACACCAUGGGAGUUGAUUUCACCCGAAGCGGGGAAGCUAAACUGGCUACCCUCCACGGUGGAAUUAGCGACUGGGGUGAAGUCGUAACAAGGUA
rnacentral:rRNA from 1 species